GAUGAACGCUAGCGGCAGGCUUAAUACAUGCAAGUCAAGGGGCAGCAUGAGUGUAGCAAUACAUUUGAUGGCGACCGGCAAACGGGUGCGGAACACGUACAGAACCUCCCUUCGAGCGGGGAAUAGCCCGGAGAAAUCCGGAUUAAUACCCCAUAGUAUGGUGAAGAGGCAUCUCUUUACUAUUAAAGAUUUAUCACUUGAAGAUGGCUGUGCGGCUGAUUAGGUAGUUGGCGGGGUAACGGCCCACCAAGCCUGCGAUCAGUAACUGGUGUGAGAGCACGACCAGUCACACGGGCACUGAGACACGGGCCCGACUCCUACGGGAGGCAGCAGUAAGGAAUAUUGGUCAAUGGACGAAAGUCUGAACCAGCCAUGCCGCGUGGAGGAUGAAGGUCCUCUGGAUUGUAAACUUCUUUUAUAUGGGACGAAAAAAGGCUUUUCCAGGUCGUCUGACGGUACCAUAUGAAUAAGCACCGGCUAACUCCGUGCCAGCAGCCGCCGUAAAAC
rnacentral:rRNA from 1 species